rnacentral:lncRNA from 1 species
AAUGAAGAAAUCAAGGCAUCCUCAGAUGAAGAAAAACUAAAGAAUUUUUUUUUUUUUUUAACCAGCAGAUCUACCCUAAAUUAAUGAAUAAAGGAAGCUGUCUAAACAGAAAGGAAGUAAUAAAAGAAGGAACUUUGGAAAAGCAUGAAGCAAGAAAACACAAAAGAGAAACUGCAAUUUCAUUGGCCUCACAUAAAACCUUCUUCAAAGUCUCCAGUCCUGCCCUCAAAUCGAGUUUGUAGUUGUUGCUCAAAAUAUCUGUGAUCUAGACUUUCAUGUUAUUAAACCACUUUGCUCCAUCUGGUAUUUUGGCUACUGAAGAAGCUCUCAUGUAUUUAUUGAUUGAUUGAGAUAUAAUUCACAUACCAUAAAACCUAUCUGCUUAAAAU